rnacentral:rRNA from 1 species
GACGAACGCUGGCGGCGUGCUUAACACAUGCGAGUCGAACGGUGAAGCGCCUUCCUUUUUGGUGGGUGUGGAUGAGUGGCGAACGGGUGGGUAACACGUGAGUAACCUGCCCCCUUCUUCUGGAUAACCGCAUGAAAGUGUGGCUAAUACGGGAUAUUCUGGGUCUGUCGCAUGAUGGGUCUGGGAAAGAUAUUGUUUCGGUGGGGGAUGGGCUCGCGGCCUAUCAGCUUGUUGGUGGGGUGAUGGCCUACCAAGGCGGUGACGGGUAGCCGGCCUGAGAGGGUGGACGGUCACACUGGGACUGAGACACGGCCCAGACUCCUACGGGAGGCAGCAGUGGGGAAUAUUGCACAAUGGGCGCAAGCCUGAUGCAGCGACGCCGCGUGAGGGAUGGAGGCCUUCGGGUUGUGAACCUCUUUCGCCAGUGAAGCAGGCCUGCCUCGUUUGUGGGUGGGUUGACGGUAGCUGGAUAAGAAGCGCCGGCUAACUACGUG